rnacentral:rRNA from 1 species
GUCAACGGCCAUAUCAUGUUGUAAACAUGGGUUCCCAUCUGAUCACUAAAGUUAAAUGAUGUUGAAAGCUGUUAUUACUUACAUGGGCGUCCAGCUCGGAAUACCGGAGUUUGUCA